rnacentral:miRNA from 10 species
UUAGGCAGGAGAAUUGCUUGAACCCGGGAGGUGGAGGUUGCAGUGAGCCAAGAUUGUGCCACUGUACUCCAGCUCUGGGCGACAGAGCAAGACUCUAUCUUGGA